rnacentral:tRNA from 1 species
GAGUGGAUAGGCUAUUACGUUAAGUCGUUAAUUUGCAAAAUUAAAGAAGCUCUAUAAGUUCCUCUCG